rnacentral:rRNA from 1 species
UACGUAGGGAGCGAGCGUUGUCCGGAAUUACUGGGCGUAAAGGGCGCGUAGGCGGGAACUUAAGUUAGAUGUGAAGACUCCGGGCUUAACCUGGAGACUGCAUUUAAAACUGGGUUUCUUGAGGGCAGGAGAGGAAAGUGGAAUUCCUAGUGUAGCGGUGAAAUGCGUAGAUAUUAGGAGGGACACCAGUGGCGAAGGCGGCCUGCUGGACUGCAACUGACGUUGAGGCUCGAAGGCGUGGGGAGCAAACAGG